GGCUGCAGCACUUUCCAUGCUUUCAAGCCGAAGGACUUCACUCCGAGGGCAUACUCUACAAGCAAUACAAAUUCAGAGAGACACGAGGAAAUCAAGUCAAAAUCAACCGAUUGUCUUAGACCCUUUUGCACAUGGACAUUUGAGAGCACUCUACUCUUUAGUCUGUUGGAACAAAGUUAUGAUGUUUCCGUUUCACACAAGAAAUCAAUUGCAAGAAGAUCAUGACAGCAGCUUGUCAUGUAAGGCGUUUCAAGCCAAAGGACGG